UGGGGAAUAUUGCACAAUGGGCGCAAGCCUGAUGCAGCCAUGCCGCGUGUGUGAAGAAGGCCUUCGGGUUGUAAAGCACUUUCAGCGAGGAGGAAGGUGGUGAACUUAAUACGUUCAUCAAUUGACGUUACUCGCAGAAGAAGCACCGGCUAACUCCGUGCCAGCAGCCGCGGUAAUACGGAGGGUGCAAGCGUUAAUCGGAAUUACUGGGCGUAAAAGCGCACGCAGGCGGUUUGUUAAGUCAGAUGUGAAAUCCCCCGGGCUCAACCUGGGAACUGCAUUUGAAACUGGCAAGCUAGAGUCUCGUAGAGGGGGGUAGAAUUCCAGGUGUAGCGGUGAAAUGCGUAGAGAUCUGGAGGAAUACCGGUGGCGAAGGCGGCCCCCUGGACGAAGACCGACGCUCAGGUGCGAAAAGCGUGGGGAGCAAAACAGGAUUAGAUACCCUGGUAGUCCACGCUGUAAAACGAUGUCGAUUUUGGAGGUUGUGCCCUUGAGGCGUGGCUUCCGGAGCUAACGCGUUAAAUCGACCGCCUGGGGAGUACGGCCGCAAGGUUAAAACUCAAAUGAAUUGACGGGUCAUAGCU
rnacentral:rRNA from 1 species